UCUACGGGUGGCAGCAGUGAGGAAUAUUGGUCAAUGGGCUUACGCCUGAACCAGCCAAGUCGCGUGAGGGAAGACUGCCCUAUGGGUUGUAAACCUCUUUUGUCAGGGAGCAACGCCGGCUACUUGUAGCCGUACUGAGAGUACCUGCAGAAAAAGCAUCUGCUAACUCCGUGACUGCAGCCGCGGUAAUACGGAGGAUGCGAGGGUUAUCCGGAUUUAUUGGGUUUAAAGUGUGCGUAGGCGGAAUGCCAAGUCAGAGGUAAAAGCGCGGGGAUCAACCUCACUCAGCCGUUGAAACUGGCGUUCUGGAGUGGGCGAGAGGAGUGCGGAAUGCGUGGUGUAGCGGUGAAAUGCAUAGAUAUCACGAAGAACUCCGAUUGCGAAGGCAGCAUACCGGCGCCCAACUGACGCUGAAGCACGAAAGCGUGGGUAUCGAACAGGAUUAGAUACCCGGGUAGUC
rnacentral:rRNA from 1 species